rnacentral:tmRNA from 1 species
UACCGGACUAAGCAUGUAGAAAGCUCUUCUGUUUCUUGUUUGGACGAGGGUUCGACUCCCUCCGGCUCCACUU